rnacentral:lncRNA from 1 species
AUUUUAUAUUUCUACCAGUAGUGUAUGAUGGUUCCAAUUUCUUCACAUCCUUGUCAACACUUACCUGCCCUUCUGGUUAUUGCAUCAUCAUGGGUAUGAAAUAGCAUCUCAUUAUGAUUUUUCUCUGAUGGCUAAUGAUGUCUAACAUUUUUUUAUGUAUGUAUUAGCCAUUUGUAUAUCUUCUUUUGAGAAAUGUCUGAUAAGAUCCUGUACCCUUUAAAAAUUGGGCUAUUUAAUUUUUUUUUUUUUUGAGUUGUAAGAGUUCGUUAUGUAUUGUUGAGACAAGUCCUUUAUCAGAUGUAUGUAAGUACAGUUCUCCCUAGAAUGAACUCCAAACCAGGUUUAAAGAACUCAAAUGCACUCAGACUCAGAGCUUGAGCCCAAGCCCUUCUUUUCUGCACCUUCAGAAGCCAGUGGUAACCAACAGAGGAGAGCCUUGCAAUAAGCAUCUGGCUGAAGUCGUGAGGCUUUACAUAUGUUAGCAAAUAUGGGAGGAGGCUAGGGAGGGCAUAGUCUCCUAGGGAGUGAGACGGAUUUUUUUCAGGGAGGUAAGUUGACUCACCAAACUGAAAUCGUGAAAGGGAUACUGAGUGUUGGGCGAUGGGAAAUCAAGUGAGGCAGCAAGGUUGGGGUACAGGUUAACAAGCAGAGGGGAGGUGGCAUCCUUAUGAAAGCUGGUCUGGAAGGCGUCCUCUUUCAGAAGGUUAAAAGAAAUAGCCAUGUUUGCUAUUAAUUUAAUCUUUAUUUUUCCUACCUGCUGAUGUGGAUGAUCCCGAAUUAUGCCUGGGAACAAUAUGUUCAUGUGAUGUAAAGAUAUUUGGGACACAAUGCCAUGGGGAGGAAUCAGGGAGGAAAGGAAGAAUAUACCCUUUGAUGCAAUCCUGCUUUGUCACUGUGGAGAAUCAAGCAGAAUUUAACUGAAUUAAAACCAGUUCUCUAAUGCAUCAGAUUAAAAUGCUGUAUAGAUAAUUCAGUACCAAACCACAUUUAAAAUACCACCUGUAUAAAACAUCAUACCAAUUUAAGCUGCUACCCACCCUAAAUUUAUUGCAUAGUAUUGGAAUGCAGGAUUGAAAAUUCACUUGUGAAAAUAUACAUAAAAUGUGACAUUAAAUAUAGUCUUUUAAAAGCUUAAAAAUCAUGGUAUCUCUUAACAUCUGGUAACUCCACCAAAGUAAAAAUUUAAAGGCACAUAUCCCCCAAAGACAAGAAGAAUGGAAAAGAAAGUGGUGGCAACAACAUUGUGGGAGGGAAAAUGCAAAUAGUGGAACCACAGAAAGCU